UACGUAGGGUGCAAGCGUUAAUCGGAAUUACUGGGCGUAAAGCGUGCGCAGGCGGUUCUAUAAGACAGAUGUGAAAUCCCCGGGCUCAACCUGGGAACUGCAUUUGUGACUGCAAAGCUGGAGUGCGGCAGAGGGGGAUGGAAUUCCGCGUGUAGCAGUGAAAUGCGUAGAUAUGCGGAGGAACACCGAUGGCGAAGGCAAUCCCCUGGGCCUGCACUGACGCUCAUGCACGAAAGCGUGGGGAGCAAACAGG
rnacentral:rRNA from 1 species